rnacentral:rRNA from 1 species
UACGUAGGGCCCUAGCGUUGUCCGGAAUCAUUGGGCGUAAAGCGCGCGUAGGCGGCCCGGUAAGUCCGUUGUAAAAGUCGAAGGCUCAACCUUCGAAAGCCGAUGGAUACUGCCGGGCUAGAGUACGGAAGAGGCGAGUAGAAUUCCUGGUGUAGCGGUGGAAUGCGCAGAUAUCAGGAGGAAUACCCAUAGCGAAGGCAGCUCGCUGGGACGUUACUGACGCUGAGGCGCGAAAGCGUGGGGAGCGAACAGG